ensembl:lncRNA
AUUUGCUGUGCUUUUUAGAGGAUAAUCAUUAAUGGGUUUUCAUAGCAACAGAUCUCCCAAACUGCCCCAGUCCCUCUCCAAACAGUGCUGUCAAGCCUCUCAAGCAGUACACAUUCCUCGGUUUGAUAUUAGAGCCAAUAUCCUUAUAGCACAGGUGUCUAAGAAUGCACACGGACUUUGAAUGGCACUAAAGACUUAGGAGCAGACCCAAGAACACGAGAGACAGAUAUGGUUGAGGGGCAACAUUUUCCAGCUGCUUUUCAGGUACUGCCAGCCAGCUGCAUCUUGUCUUGUCCUGGCAUUGCUGCCACCCAGCUUGUUUCCUGUUAGAGCUAACUUUCUUUGGGAUAUAGAGCAUAUUAACUACAGAGAUCUUAAAACACAGCUUCCACCCAUAGCAUGUGGGAACAAAACCAAACCUCAGCUUCUGUUUUUGCACAGUGACGACUCUGACUCCCUUCAUCUGAAAAAUCCCUUCAGGAAAAUGAAGCAUUAAUCCUGUACUUCUAUGGCAGACUCUAACUCUCUUCCCUCAUAGCAGGAAGCCUUGUUAGGAUCAAUCUGAGUCACAGCUGCUCUGAAUUCCAAAGGGUGAGAUCUGUUGGGCUGUUGUAAAUUACUCUCUUCACAGAGGGCAAGAGGCUGUAAGUGGCACAGGUGUGCCACCACUUAACCACCCUCACCACAGGCUGCGGCUCUUGGGAGAGCUGGCUAGCAAUGUAGUCAAGGGAAAAAAUAAAAGGAGGAAGACUUCUCUUUGCUAAGGGCACAUCAGCAAGCCUUGCAAGUGCCAGAGUUUUUGUAUCUCGCCAAGGAGUACAGCAGGCAAGCAUUCCCUUUGAAUGAAAUGUCUACUGCCUGAGCAAUCUGAGUGCAAACCGGAGCCUAAGUCCUUCUCCUUUGCUCCCUCAUACUGAAGGAGGUGCUGCUGGGAGCUGGUGCUGCACAAGCAAGUUCUGAGCAUGUUUGCUGUUCUUCCUGUGAGUUGCAGCCCGUGUGGCCCAUAGCGAGUUAAACCUCUGAAUCUCUACUGUGCUGCACCACUCCAUGUCUGCCUGUCCUUCAGGUCAAAGGCUUUUGUCCUGCUGUGGGAGGAGGCUAAACACUGCGGGCAGUACUGGCAGUUGCAGGUGCGAUUCUUCGCUAAACAACAGAUACAGCGUGGCAAGUGUUGAUAGAUAUUAACAUCAGUGCAGGUGUAGAACUUACACCAUAUGCAGAACCAGCACUUUCUUGCAGUCCCUGGGCUGAUGGGGAAACCCCUCUGUCUCAAAGCAAGCCACAUUAUCCCUAGCUUGCUCUUACAGAUUUCCGUAACCACCAGGAAUGCUGGAUGCCAGGGAGGAUGCAGAACCCAAGGAAAUCAAAAGGAGCCAUGAGUGUACUCUACAGGGCAAUGGCAGUAUUUGCCAGCUAUGGCUGCAAUACGUAUACACGGAAAGGAGAAAGUACAUGAAGUUCUACUUAAGGUUUUCCUAUGAGCUUCUACGGUUUUCUCUGGGAGCAUCACGAAGAGUUAGGCAACUCCAGAUUGAAAGACCCUGGCCUCAAGGGCUGAAGAAUAGAGCUACAUUGUAACAUCCUGAUACUUGCUGACAAUUUUCUCCCUUAAUAAAACGUUGCCGCUGUCCUCUCCAUUUAUAGCAUCAAAGAGAACCCUUCUAACCUCCUAAAUCCUGUUUUAGUGUCGUAGGCUACAGAUUAUUAGCCAAAGCACAACUGCAUUUGAUGUAGUUAUAUCAGGAAGAAACAUAAGUAACAUUUAUAAUGCAGAAAUACUUAAAAAAAUUUAUUAAAAUUUAUUAAAAUAUGUUUAAAAUUAAAAUUUAAAGCAUUUAAACUUCUGUGUGAGCUCCGAGGCAGCUCUGUCUUUGUGUAUUACUGAAUACGAAAUGCUGAGAGGAAUUGAUGUGGCGGUCUCCUUUUUCUCUAGUUACCCUCCUGCAGCACAGCGCAGCCCGCUGCCCCUACAGGACAGCCUGCUUCAUGACGUUGUCCCUCAAGAUCUCAUUCCACUGUUAAUUUUUUUGUUGUUGUUGUUAGAAUAAAACACCUUGAAGUCCUGCUCUGACUUACUGCCUUCCUGACUUUGCCCUGCAACUCCGAGUAACACCCUGCGUGUGUACUUCACGUCAAAGUAAACUCGAGUUAAAAACACGCUAUUUGCGAAGUCAUUUAAGGACGGAUGAGAUCGGUGUUGCCCUCGCACUACUUACUGCAAUGUUUCUGACUGCAAAUUGCCCCAGAGCAGCUCUCUGGGCAGCAUGCUUUCUGCCACCUCAGGCGCUGCCGUCACCCCGCAGGCGUAAAGCUGCCGUACGCGCCCGUGAGACACCGUGAGAAAGCUCUCCUUUCUGCCGCUCUCUCAGGGGCUUUGUCUGGGCUUGGAGGCGGCCCGCGAGGAGGCAGCCGGGCUGCCGGGACAAGCG